CCUACGGGAGGCUGCAGUGGGGGAUAUUGCACAAUGGGCGGGACCCUGAUGCAGCGACGCCGCGUGGAUGAAGAAGGCCCUCGGCGCGUAAAGCCCUGUCAGCCGGGAAGAAAAUGACGGUACCUGUAGAAGAAGCCCCGGCUAACUACGUGCAAGCAGCCGCGGGCAUCCGGCGGGGGCAAGCGUUAUCCGGAUUUACUGGGUGUAAAGGGGGCGCAGUCGGGGAUGCAAGCCAGGAGUGAAAGCCCGGGGCCCAACCCCGGUACUGCUGUUGGAACUGCGUGGCUGGAGUGCAGGAGGGGUAGGCGGAAUGCGUGGUGUAGCGGUGAAAUGCGUAGAUAUCAGGAGGAACACCGGUGGCGAAGGCGGCCUGCUGGACUGCAACUGACGUUGAGGCCCGAAAGCGUGGGGAGCAAACAGGAUUAGAUACCCUGGUAGUC
rnacentral:rRNA from 1 species